GUGAGUCAUCGAAUCUUUGAACGCAUAUUGCGCCCUUUGGUAUUCCGAAGGGCAUGCCUGUUCGAGCGUCAUUAUCACCCCUCAAGCCCCCGGCUUGGUGUUGGACGGUUCGGUCUUGGACAGACCCCAGACCCCUCCUAAAGUUAAUGACGGCGGCCUGUGUGACCCCCGGUACACUGAGCUUCUUAACUGAGCACGUAUCGGUUCUAAGGGUGGACAGGACCCGGUCUUCUUCCUGCGUCAGGAAAUUUCUUACAAGGUUGACCUCGGAUCAGGUAGGGAUACCCGCUGAACUUAAGCAUAUCAAUAAGCGGAGGA
rnacentral:misc_RNA from 1 species